rnacentral:rRNA from 1 species
AUUGAACGCUGGCGGCAUGCCUUACACAUGCAAGUCGAACGGCAGCACGGGGGCAACCCUGGUGGCGAGUGGCGAACGGGUGAGUAAUGCAUCGGAACGUGCCCUGUCGUGGGGGAUAACACAUCGAAAGAUGUGCUAAUACCGCAUACGACCUGAGGGUGAAAGCGGGGGACCGUAAGGCCUCGCGCGAUAGGAGCGGCCGAUGUCUGUUUAGCUAGUUGGUGGGGUAAAGGCCUACCAAGGCGACGAUCAGUAGCUGGUCUGAGAGGACGACCAGCCACACUGGGACUGAGACACGGCCCAGACUCCUACGGGAGGCAGCAGUGGGGAAUUUUGGACAAUGGGGGCAACCCUGAUCCAGCCAUACCGCGUGCGGGAAGAAGGCCUUCGGGUUGUAAACCGCUUUUGGCAGGAACGAAACGGUGCGGGCGAAUACCCUGUGCUAAUGACGGUACCUGCAGAAUAAGCACCGGCUAACUACGUGCCAGCAGCCGCCGUAAAAC